rnacentral:rRNA from 1 species
GAUGAACGCUAGCGGCAGGCUUAACACAUGCAAGUCGAGGGGUAUUGGUUUUCGGACCAAGAGACCGGCGCACGGGUGCGUAACGCGUAUGCAAUCUACCUUUUGCAGAGGGAUAGCCCAGAGAAAUUUGGAUUAAUACCUCAUAGUAUAGUACUUUGGCAUCAAGGAACUAUUAAAGUCACAACGGCAAAAGAUGAGCAUGCGUCCCAUUAGCUAGUUGGUAAGGUAACGGCUUACCAAGGCUACGAUGGGUAGGGGUCCUGAGAGGGAGAUCCCCCACACUGGUACUGAGACACGGACCAGACUCCUACGGGAGGCAGCAGUGAGGAAUAUUGGACAAUGGGCGCAAGCCUGAUCCAGCCAUGCCGCGUGCAGGAUGACGGUCCUAUGGAUUGUAAACUGCUUUUAUACAGGAAGAAACACUCCGACGUGUCGGAGCUUGACGGUACUGUAAGAAUAAGGAUCGGCUAACUCCGUGCCAGCAGCCGCGGUAA